UUCCCCGGAGAAAGACAGUUUUGGAAUCGAAUCUUGCUCAAUGAAGCUAAGUUUCUAUUGCCAAAGAUAUACACCAAAAGUGCCCUCCGCCAUAGCUGUCAACUCUACAGACACGCACAUCUACGCACGCAUAGUACAGCCUAAGAUACUUCGAGAUUGGGUUUCUGAUUUCUGCUUUCUGUACGAGAAAAAUGGAACUGCGGCUACACCGACGGUAGUGUGUGACAAAAAUGAAUCAACCGUUCUGUCAGGCCUGGCGACAAAUACUUUGUACCGGAUCAGAGCAUUCUUCAAAACUACGAUCGGACACAAUAGCAGCAUGUCCUCCGAAAUCAAAAUUGGAACAUCGCCAAAAGCACCAAAUCCGCCUCUCAACCCCGUCAUCUCAAGUACUACUAUCACGGUGUUUCUAGGGCAAAUAGAAGAAGGCAACCUUCCCAUACGCCAGUAUUGUGUGCACGGAAUACCUGCUAAUGAUCUGUCCGGGAAUAUGCCAUUGGUACCAGUAUGCAGCGCCUCGAAAAAUGUCACUUUACGUGGCUUAAAACCCAACAUGAGCUAUAAUGUCACCGCCUAUGUUAGCAAUGCCUAUGGAGACAGUGACCAGUCCAGCCCCACACGCAUUACCACGUUGCCCACAGUGAAAUGGAAUGCCUGUCCUCUAACCAGUGCUGGCACGUGGCAAGUCGAUUGGACCUUUCGACUUGGACGUCAAACUUGGACAGAAGCAAAAGCAGAAUGUCAAUCAUAUGGCGGAUCACUAGCGACUGUGCACACAAUGGCUCAGGUGACGUGUGCAAACCGGACAGUGGAGGGAACUAUCGCUGUGUGGGUAGGCUUGACUGGUACAUGGACAGCUGGAAAUUGGAGUGCUUGGAAAUGGGAAGUGGCAUCGUCCACCCGUACGACGAGACUUCCCUGGUCAU